ACAAGAAAUUAUCUACACGAUAAAAUAUGUAUCACAAACACAACGAGAAGGUCUACGGUUCGAGUCCGUAUAGCCCUA
rnacentral:tRNA from 1 species